CCUACGGGGGGCUGCAGUGAGGAAUAUUGGUCAAUGGGCGCAAGCCUGAACCAGCCAUGCCGCGUGCAGGAAGAAUGCCCUAUGGGUUGUAAACUGCUUUUAUUUGGGAAUAAACCUCUUUACGUGUAGAGAGCUGAAGGUACCAAAAGAAUAAGCACCGGCUAACUCCGUGCCAGCAGCCGCGGUAAUACGGAGGGUGCAAGCGUUAUCCGGAAUCAUUGGGUUUAAAGGGUGCGCAGGCGGAUUUAUAAGUCAGUGGUGAAAGCCCGUUGCUCAACAACGGAACUGCCAUUGAAACUGUAAGUCUUGAAUUUAGUCGAAGUGGGCGGAAUGUGACAUGUAGCGGUGAAAUGCUUAGAUAUGUCACAGAACACCGAUAGCGAAGGCAGCUCACUAGGCUUGAAUUGACGCUCAUGCACGAAAGCGUGGGGAGCAAACAGGAUUAGAUACCCCAGUAGUC
rnacentral:rRNA from 1 species